GACUACACGAAGCUGGAAUCGCUAGUAAUCGCGGAUCAGAAUGCCGCGGUGAAUACGUUCCCGGGUCUUGUACACACCGCCCGUCACACCAUGGGAGUCAGUAACGCCCGAAGUCAGUGACCUAACCGAAAGGGAGGAGCUGCCGAAGGCGGGACGGAUGACUGGGGUGAAGUCGUAACAAGGUAAC
rnacentral:rRNA from 1 species